UGGGGAAUAUUGCACAAUGGGCGCAAGCCUGAUGCAGCCAUGCCGCGUGUGUGAAGAAGGCCUUCGGGUUGUAAAGCACUUUCAGCGAGGAGGAAGGUGGUGAACUUAAUACGUUCAUCAAUUGACGUUACUCGCAGAAGAAGCACCGGCUAACUCCGUGCCGGCAGCCGCGGUAAUACGGAGGGUGCAAGCGUUAAUCGGAAUUACUGGGCGUAAAGCGCACGCAGGCGGUUUGUUAAGUCAGAUGUGAAAUCCCCGGGCUCAACCUGGGAACUGCAUUUGAAACUGGCAAGCUAGAGUCUCGUAGAGGGGGGUAGAAUUCCAGGUGUAGCGGUGAAAUGCGUAGAGAUCUGGAGGAGUACCGGUGGCGAAGGCGGCCCCCUGGACGAAGACUGACGCUCAGGUGCGAAAGCGUGGGGAGCAAAACAGGAUUAGAUACCCUGGUAGUCCACGCUGUAAAACGAUGUCGAUUUUGGAGGUUGUGCCCUUGAGGCGUGGCUUCCGGAGCUAACGCGUUAAAUCGACCGCCUGGGGAGUACGGCCGCAAGGUU
rnacentral:rRNA from 1 species